rnacentral:rRNA from 1 species
UGACAGUGCCGUAAUCAGAUGAUUCGGCUACUGAAUUGAGAACGAUGAAAGAAUGUUAUCGAAUAUCUAUUGGAGGGCAAGUCUGGUGCCAGCAGCCGCGGUAAUUCCAGCUCGAAGAGCGUCUGUUAAUGUUGCUGCGCUUGAAACGCUCGUCGUUGAAUCUCUGGCAAUUGCCUACGGACACUUCUAUUGUGGUACCGUAGGAAAGUGCCUUUUUGUAUCUAUUCGUCGUUGAUUCACUUAAUUGUGUGUCACGUUCGAGAGCCACUUUCACUUUGGAGAAAUCAGUGUGCUCAUAACAGGCUUAUGCCUGCAUAUAACUGCAUGGGAUGAUGAAACUGGGCCUUUGACUCGUUUCGUUGGUUUACGAUUGCAAAGGCCAUGAUUAAUCGGGACAGACGGGGGCAUUCGUAUUGCGUCGAUAGAAGUGAAAUUCGGUGACCGACGUAAGACGAACAAUCGCGAAAGCAUUUGCCAAGAAUGUUUUCAUUAAUCAAGAACGAAAGUUAGAGUAUCGAAGACGAUUAGAUACCGUCCUAGUUCUAACUGUAAACGAUGCCAACCAGGGUUUCGUCAUAGCUUAUAUGCUUGACGAGCACCCUCCGGGAAACCUGAGUAAUCGGGUUCCGGGGGGAGUAUGGUUGCAGAAUCGAAACUUAAAGGAAUUGACGGAAGGGCACACCAGGAGUGGAGCCUGCGGCUUAAUUUGACUCAACGCACGAUAGCCGACUCGGUCCGAACACUUGAAGGAUUGACAGACUGAAAGCUCUUUCUUGAUUUAGUGGGUAGCGGUGCAUGG